rnacentral:lncRNA from 1 species
UAUAAUAGAAUUUGAAGGGAUAUUUUUCGAAAUUCAAAAAGAAGUCAAAAGCAAAUAAAAUUACUUUAAUAAUAUGUUCGUUCAUCGUGAUCUACCCUGAUCUUCAACCACAUUUUACGCAUAGCAAACCUUCCGAAACUCUACCCCUUUCUUUAAUAAAGACAUCUACCACGAAUUCCAGCAAUGAAAUUUGAGGUCUGAAGAGAAGUUGGAAAAAACUGGGGCAAAAAUGGAGAGAAAUCAUACUUGAAAUUAGAACAAUCCAACUGAAAAGAUGUAAAAAACUGAAAAACGAAUUCUUUGAAAAUCUGAUAAAAAAAUAAAGAGAUCAUGCAAAAGGAACAUUUUAAGGAUAAAAGAGAGAAACAAAAUGAAGGAGAUGAACAGAUGAACAAUAACAUAGAAGAAAAACAACCUUGAAUUUCAUCCAUGACAUUGAAAAUUUGAAAAGAAAUGGAAGAUUAAAACAAAAAAAAUGAGAGAAAAGCUUACCUAAAAAUGAAAGAUUCCACUGAGAUGAUGAUGAGAAGUCAAAGAUUAAUCCUUGAAAGUGUAGAGAGUAUAAGAUUUUAAGAGAAAAUGAAACAACCGAUGGUUUCUUGUCAUCAGAGAAAUGCUUCUAGAAUUAUAUGGCCGAAAAAGAUUAAGUUUAGGGAACCAAAUAACAGAUUUACCCUUGAUCAAGAAAUAGAAAUAGAGAU